rnacentral:misc_RNA from 1 species
CUGAAGUGAGUCUUCAUUCAUUGAAGCUUCUUCCCAUUGUGCUGGCUUUGACCGUAUGUUAUGUUGGGGAUUAAACAUGGUGAAGAGAAUUUAUUUUCUUGGCCGUCCCCAACAAUUAUCUUAUCCUUUAUUAAAUUGAACUGAACUCAUUUUGAGAUUACAUAAAAAAAUAAUCUUAUAAUA